GAUCAUGGCUCAGGAUGAACGCUGGCGGCGUGCCUAACACAUGCAAGUCGAACGGAGUUCUUGAGGAAUGCGACUUCGGUCAAAUGACUUUUGAACUUAGUGGCGGACGGGUGAGUAACGCGUGAGCAACCUGCCUUUCAGAGGGGGAUAACAUUUGGAAACAGAUGCUAAUACCGCAUAAGAUUACAGUACCGCAUGAUACAGUGAUUAAAGGAGCAAUCCGCUGAAAGA
rnacentral:rRNA from 1 species